GACGAACGCUGGCGGCGUGCUUAACACAUGCAAGUCGAACGGAAAGGCCCUGCUUUUGUGGGGUGCUCGAGUGGCGAACGGGUGAGUAACACGUGAGUAACCUGCCCUUGACUUUGGGAUAACUUCAGGAAACUGGGGCUAAUACCGGAUAGGAGCUCCUGCUGCAUGGUGGGGGUUGGAAAGUUUCGGCGGUUGGGGAUGGACUCGCGGCUUAUCAGCUUGUUGGUGGGGUAGUGGCUUACCAAGGCUUUGACGGGUAGCCGGCCUGAGUGGGUGACCGGCCACAUUGGGACUGAGAUACGGCCCAGACUCCUACGGGAGGCAGCAGUGGGGAAUAUUGCACAAUGGGCGGAAGCCUGAUGCAGCAACGCCGCGUGCGGGAUGACGGCCUUCGGGUUGUAAACCGCUUUCGCCUGUGACGAAGCGUGAGUGACGGUAAUGGGGAAAGAAGCACCGGCUAACUACGU
rnacentral:rRNA from 1 species